GGUUAAGCGACUAAGCGUACACGGUGGAUGCCCUGGCAGUCAGAGGCGAUGAAGGGCGUGCUAAUCUGCGAUAAGCGCCGGUAAGGUGAUAUGAACCGUUAUAACCGGCGAUUUCCGAAUGGGGAAACCCAGUGUGAUUCGUCACACUAUCAUUAACUGAAUCCAUAGGUUAAUGAGGCGAACCGGGGGAACUGAAACAUCUAAGUACCCCGAGGAAAAGAAAUCAACCGAGAUUCCCCCAGUAGCGGCGAGCGAACGGGGAGGAGCCCAGAGCCUGAAUCAGCAUGUGUGUUAGUGGAAGCGUCUGGAAAGGCGCGCGAUACAGGGUGACAGCCCCGUACACAAAAGCGCAUGUGCUGUGAGCUCGAUGAGUAGGGCGGGACACGUGGUAUCCUGUCUGAAUAUGGGGGGACCAUCCUCCAAGGCUAAAUACUCCUGACUGACCGAUAGUGAACCAGUACCGUGAGGGAAAGGCGAAAAGAACCCCGGCGAGGGGAGUGAAAAAGAACCUGAAACCGUGUACGUACAAGCAGUGGGAGCACAGGUUUACCUGUGUGACUGCGUACCUUUUGUAUAAUGGGUCAGCGACUUAUAUUCUGUAGCAAGGUUAACCGUAUAGGGGAGCCGUAGGGAAACCGAGUCUUAACCGGGCGUUAAGUUGCAGGGUAUAGACCCGAAACCCGGUGAUCUAGCCAUGGGCAGGUUGAAGGUUGGGUAACACUAACUGGAGGACCGAACCGACUAAUGUUGAAAAAUUAGCGGAUGACCUGUGGCUGGGGGUGAAAGGCCAAUCAAACCGGGAGAUAGCUGGUUCUCCCCGAAAGCUAUUUAGGUAGCGCCUCGUGAAUUCAUCUCCGGGGGUAGAGCACUGUUUCGGCUAGGGGGCCAUCCCGGCUUACCAACCCGAUGCAAACUGCGAAUACCGGAGAAUGUUAUCACGGGAGACACACGGCGGGUGCUAACGUCCGUCGUGAAGAGGGAAACAACCCAGACCGCCAGCUAAGGUCCCAAAGUCAUGGUUAAGUGGGAAACGAUGUGGGAAGGCCCAGACAGCCAGGAUGUUGGCUUAGAAGCAGCCAUCAUUUAAAGAAAGCGUAAUAGCUCACUGGUCGAGUCGGCCUGCGCGGAAGAUGUAACGGGGCUAAACCAUGCACCGAAGCUGCGGCAGCGAACGUAUCACCCAAGACAACUUUACGGAGUUGACGAUUGACGGAGCGAAGCGACGUCAAAGCGUUCAUUAAAGUCGAGUUGGCUUAGGGAUACGUUCGUUGGGUAGGGGAGCGUUCUGUAAGCCUGUGAAGGUGUGUCGUGAGGCAUGCUGGAGGUAUCAGAAGUGCGAAUGCUGACAUAAGUAACGAUAAAGCGGGUGAAAAGCCCGCUCGCCGGAAGACCAAGGGUUCCUGUCCAACGUUAAUCGGGGCAGGGUGAGUCGACCCCUAAGGCGAGGCCGAAAGGCGUAGUCGAUGGGAAACGGGUUAAUAUUCCCGUACUUGGUGUUACUGCGAAGGGGGGACGGAGAAGGCUAUGUUGGCCGGGCGACGGUUGUCCCGGUUUAAGCGUGUAGGUGUGUGUUCCAGGUAAAUCCGGUUCACUUUAACACUGAGGCGUGACGACGAGGCACUACGGUGCUGAAGCAACAAAUGCCCUGCUUCCAGGAAAAGCCUCUAAGCAUCAGGUAACACGAAAUCGUACCCCAAACCGACACAGGUGGUCAGGUAGAGAAUACCAAGGCGCUUGAGAGAACUCGGGUGAAGGAACUAGGCAAAAUGGUGCCGUAACUUCGGGAGAAGGCACGCUGACACGUAGGUGAAGUGAUUUACUCAUGGAGCUGAAGUCAGUCGAAGAUACCAGCUGGCUGCAACUGUUUAUUAAAAACACAGCACUGUGCAAACACGAAAGUGGACGUAUACGGUGUGACGCCUGCCCGGUGCCGGAAGGUUAAUUGAUGGGGUCAGCGCAAGCGAAGCUCCUGAUCGAAGCCCCGGUAAACGGCGGCCGUAACUAUAACGGUCCUAAGGUAGCGAAAUUCCUUGUCGGGUAAGUUCCGACCUGCACGAAUGGCGUAAUGAUGGCCAGGCUGUCUCCACCCGAGACUCAGUGAAAUUGAACUCGCUGUGAAGAUGCAGUGUACCCGCGGCAAGACGGAAAGACCCCGUGAACCUUUACUAUAGCUUGACACUGAACAUUGAGCCUUGAUGUGUAGGAUAGGUGGGAGGCUUUGAAGUGUGGACGCCAGUCUGCAUGGAGCCGACCUUGAAAUACCACCCUUUAAUGUUUGAUGUUCUAACGUGGACCCGUAAUCCGGGUUGCGGACAGUGUCUGGUGGGUAGUUUGACUGGGGCGGUCUCCUCCUAAAGAGUAACGGAGGAGCACGAAGGUUGGCUAAUCCUGGUCGGACAUCAGGAGGUUAGUGCAAUGGCAUAAGCCAGCUUGACUGCGAGCGUGACGGCGCGAGCAGGUGCGAAAGCAGGUCAUAGUGAUCCGGUGGUUCUGAAUGGAAGGGCCAUCGCUCAACGGAUAAAAGGUACUCCGGGGAUAACAGGCUGAUACCGCCCAAGAGUUCAUAUCGACGGCGGUGUUUGGCACCUCGAUGUCGGCUCAUCACAUCCUGGGGCUGAAGUAGGUCCCAAGGGUAUGGCUGUUCGCCAUUUAAAGUGGUACGCGAGCUGGGUUUAGAACGUCGUGAGACAGUUCGGUCCCUAUCUGCCGUGGGCGCUGGAGAACUGAGGGGGGCUGCUCCUAGUACGAGAGGACCGGAGUGGACGCAUCACUGGUGUUCGGGUUGUCAUGCCAAUGGCACUGCCCGGUAGCUAAAUGCGGAAGAGAUAAGUGCUGAAAGCAUCUAAGCACGAAACUUGCCCCGAGAUGAGUUCUCCCUGAGACUUAGAGUCUCCUGAAGGAACGUUGAAGACGACGACGUUGAUAGGCCGGGUGUGUAAGCGCAGCGAUGCGUUGAGCUAACCGGUACUAAUGAACCGUGAGGCUUAACCUU
rnacentral:rRNA from 1 species